UCGCUCUUCAACGAGGAAUCCCUAGUAAGUACAAGUCAUCAGCUUGUGCUGAUUACGUCCCUGCCCUUUGUACACACCGCCCGUCGCUACUACCGAUUGAAUGGCUUAGUGAGACCCUCGGAUCGGCUUUCAGAGACUGGCAACAGUUUUUGAUUGUUGAGAAGUUGGUCAAACUUGGUCAUUUAGAGGAAGUAAAAGUCGUAACAAGGUUUCCGUAGGUGAACCUGCGGAAGGAUCAUUAUUAUUUGGGUAGGGUUUUCUGCUUUUAGUCUUGUUCGUUUGUUCUUUAUUUGUUCUUUUUUUGUUCUUUUAUUAUUAAAACGUCUCCUUUGGCAGAAAACCUCCCCCAAAUAUAAAGGAGCAAGCUAUUUAAAACCCACUCUUGAAUUUUAUAUUUAUAUGUAUUUUGAACGAUAAAAUUAAAGAUCACUUUCGACAACGGAUCUCUUGGCUCUCGCAUCGAUGAAGAACGUAGCGAAGUGCGAUAAGUAAUGUGAAUUGCAGUAUUCCGUGAAUCAUCGAAUCUUUGAACGCAUAUUGCACUCUCUGGUAUUCCGGAAAGUAUGCCUGUUUGAGGGUCAGUCAAAUAAAAAUCGGUGUUUGUUACUACCCUUAGUGAUGGUAACGCAUCGGAGUUGAGUCGUCUUUACCUUUUUUUUGGUUAAGUGACUUAAAAUUUUGUACGAUUUUUUGAACGUAUUUAAACUUUUACGUACGUUCUUAAUAUCAUCAUAUAUUUAUUAGAUGUGGUCAUUUUCAUGAUUCGCGUCUAUAAUUUUUUCAUUAUUUGACCUCAGAUCAGGUAAGAGUACCCGCUGAACUUAAGCAUAUCAAUAAGCGGAGGAAAAGAAAAUAACAAUGAUUCCCUUAGUAACGGCGAGUGAAGGGGGAUAAGCUCAAAUUUUAAAUCUGCUUGGUUAUACCUGUCAGAGUUGUAUUUUGAAGAAGCGUUUUCCGCGUCUCGGUUGACCCAAUUCCUUUGGGAUAAGGUAUCAUGGAGGGUGAGAAUCCCGUUCGGUUGACCUUAUGACGCUUUACGAUACGUUUUCAAAGAGUCGAGUUGUUUGGGAUUGCAGCUCAAAAUGGGAGGUAAAUUUCUCCUAAGGCUAAAUAUUGGCGAGAGACCGAUAGCGAACAAGUACCGUGAGGGAAAGAUGAAAAGAACUUUGAAAAGAGAGUAAAAUAGUACGUGAAAUUGUUGAAAGGGAAACGAUUGAAGUCAGUCGUACCGACGAGAAAUCAGCUCUUUGAGUGUGGACAUGUGGGCGUGCGUGAGCUUUACGGUCUCGCUGUUUGCAAUGUUUGUGCUUUUUGGGUGUACUUUUUCGUAUGGUAGGCCAACAUCAGUUUCGAAUACCAUAAAAUGACCGGCGGAAUGUAGCUUCGAUCUCGUAUUGAAGUGUUAUAGCCUCUGGUAGAUGUGGUGUUUGGGACUGAGGAUUGCAACGAAUAUCCUUUGGGCUAUCCGUCUGAUCUCUGAAAGUUGCUUAGGUGCCGAAAGCAUGCUUACGGUUAUUUAAGUUGACGGUCAAAAGGUUAGAACGUGAUUACAUUCGUUAAGGAUGUUGGCGUAAUGGCUUUAAACGACCCGUCUUGAAACACGGACCAAGGAGUCUAACAUAUAUGCGAGUGUU
rnacentral:rRNA from 1 species